GAGCAACGGAUGGAAAUUGAAAAAAAGGCUCCAAAAUUGCGUGAGGAGUCCCUGGAGCUCCAACGGACAGAAAGAAAAAGGCUCUCCCGAGCUCUUCUCAGAAGCUCUGAACAGACGAAGGAAAAAACUGCAGAGAGGUCCUCGGGAGCUCAGGGGACCGAAAAGAAAAAAAACACCCCUCAUUUGCUCCCUCUCUCAGGCCUCGGUGCAGAAGGAAAAUUUGCAGAGAGGCCCCUGAUUCACUCUCGCAUCUCUCCCUCUCUCGGACGAAGGCUACGGACAGAAAACAGAGAGGGAAAGAAAUUUUUGCAGAAGAGAUCCCUAGCUCAAUUUCUCUCGGUGGAGCAAUGGAACAAAAGAAGGGAAGGAAGAAAAUUGCUCCGAGGACCUCGACUGAGGCAGAAGCAGAAAAGAGAAGGAAUUUGCAGCAGAGGUCCCUGGAUCAUCUCCAGAACUCUCUUCCUCUCUCUCGGACUUGUGUAGAAGAAAGGGAAGAAAAAAAUCUCUCGGCUCUUUCUCUCAGAUUCUCCCUCUCGUUUUUUUUAGCAAAUAAAACACUCACUCUCAAAUUUUCUCUUGGACAGGGCAAGGCCAAUAAAAAUGAUUGGAGCUUGCAAUUUCAUCAAAUUCUAAUCAAGAGACUACAAUCUUCAUUGAGGUAUUUAUUCUUUUAUCUUUUUUCCAACUUUUUCCUUUCUUUAAUUUAUUAAAUUAAAUACAUGAUUUGAUGUUUGUUUGUCCCUUGGCUUCGUUUGUUGUUGUUACUGAUGUUGUUGAAUUUUUGGGGAAUCCAUGAAUAAACAUUAAAAAAAAUGAUUUCUGUGAAUGCAUGAUAAUUGUUUGAAAAAUGUGAAAAAUGAAAAAAAUGAAUUUCAAGGGCUGUUUUGCUUUAUUUUAAUUUUUUUUAUGUUGUUUUCUUGUCAAAUAAAAUCAUACUUAUAUUGUAGGAAUUGUAAGGAGUGUUGUAGUAUAAUUUUUAUGAUUUUUGGUGAAAAUUUGAGUAUUUUAAAAAUAAUAAAAAUCGUGGCUGUUUCUGGCAUUUUGACUAUCUUCGAAUUGUUUUCUGUACAAACUAAAUCCGGAUUUGGAAUCUACUCGAAAAAUCGAGUGAAAAUGUGUGUUUUAAUAAUUUUUGGUGACCGGAAAAAUUGCCGGCGAUCGGUAACCGGAGGCACCGUCAGCGGUAACCACGGCCACCGACAGAAUGUUGUAGGAAAAGUUGCAGAAGUUGAUUUCCGAAGCUUUGCAUGAUAAUCCGGAAAAUUUGCGGUUCAGCCCCCCCAACUUUUAAAUAAUUACAUUGUGGCCCAAAAGCUUUUGUAAUUGAACCAGUCAUGUCUCUAUUGAGUUUUUAUUUUCUUUUUCAUAUUUUAACUGUAUUUCAAGUAUGUUGUUUCUGUGAUUUGAGGGUGUAAUUAUAUUUUAAUAAUUUUGAUAGAUUUAUUAUUUUGGUUGGGUUUGAUAAAAUAAUUGGAGUUUUUGGGUUGAGAUUUGUUUAGUUGGGUUUUGGUAUAAAAUUUGGAUCAUUUUAUUGGGUUUUAGAAAUGGGUUUUGGUUUAUUUCUUGUGGGUUUGGGUUGGGCUAAGAAGUCAAAACCCAUGUAUUUAUUUGAGUUGAAUUGAGUGAUAAAAAAGACGGGCUGCCCAUUUCUUUUCCUUGGAUUUUCAGUUGGGCUGAGAGGGUUUUCUGCCCAAACAAAUAAAUAAAAUGACCCAAUGGCCCAUUUCCUUAAAAGAUCUGGUUACGAAAUUGCAAAUCAGUCCCUGUACCCUAGAGCAUUUUCUCUAUGGCCCUAAUGACUUUUAUUACUUUCAAUUAUGUCCCUGUUAUAAUUGCAAAUAGGUCCUUUAAUUUUAUUUUUCUUUAAUUUGGACCCCAUAUCUUUGUGAUAAUUGAAUUGGAUCCCAAAACUUUGUUUAUUUUUGCAAUUAGAUCAUUAACAGAUUGGAUUGCUUAAAUAGAAGUUGAUUUUCUUCCAUAAUCAUCGAUUACACUUCAUUUAAGUGUUUCAAUUGAUUGAUUUCAUUUUUAUUUCCAUUUGCUAUGAUUUAUUUGUUAUUUAAAUUGGUGCCUUGAUGAUUUUGUUAAUUUUGGAGGUAAAUAGGGCAAAUCCAAUUUCCCAUUAAUUACUACUUCAAGGGAGAUUAAGAAAGCAAGGUCAUGGAUGUUAAGAAGAUAAGUGAGAGGUAAAUAGAUAGAUAUUUCUACUCUGGGAGUAUAGAGUAAGAUAUUUAGCAAGAUGUAUUGAGUGAAGAGUAUUUUUUUUUUCUAUAUUUAUAAGUUUUAAAUUUUAAUGAAUUUUUGUACGUUAUAAUCAUGAUGCUUUUGUAAUCGUGCAAGUAAGGUCUCACGAGUACGACGUGCCAUGUUACAUAUCUGGUCCAGGGACUGGAAUUUGGGGUGUAAUAAUAGAUUUUUACUAAUCAACAUGUCUGAUUGAUGCUUAA